rnacentral:rRNA from 1 species
UGGGAAUUUUGGACAAUGGGCGAAAGCCUGAUCCAGCAAUGCCGCGUGUGUGAAGAAGGCCUUCGGGUUGUAAAGCACUUUUGUCCGGAAAGAAAUCCUUGGCUCUAAUACAGUCGGGGGAUGACGGUACCGGAAGAAUAAGCACCGGCUAACUACGUGCCAGCAGCCGCGGUAAUACGUAGGGUGCAAGCGUUAAUCGGAAUUACUGGGCGUAAAGCGUGCGCAGGCGGUUUGCUAAGACCGAUGUGAAAUCCCCGGGCUCAACCUGGGAACUGCAUUGGUGACUGGCAGGCUAGAGUAUGGCAGAGGGGGGUAGAAUUCCACGUGUAGCAGUGAAAUGCGUAGAGAUGUGGAGGAAUACCGAUGGCGAAGGCAGCCCCCUGGCCAAUACUGACGCUCAUGCACGAAAGCGUGGGGAGCAAAACAGGAUUAGAUACCCUGGUAGUCCACGCCCUAAACGAUGUCAACUAGUUGUGGGGAUUCAUUCCUUAGUAACGUAGCUAACGCGUGAAGUUGACCGCCUGGGGAGUACGGUCGCAAGAUUAAAACUCAAAGGAAUUGACGGGGUCAUAGCUG